AAAAGAAACGAGAGCUGGGGGGUCAUCCUUGUGGCUUUUCCGGAGCUGAAAAGCGCCUCGCCCUGAAAAUACAAACCCAGAGCCCAGGCAGCGGGUCGUCGUGGGGCCAGCACCCCUCGGGGCUCCGGUCGUGUCCUGAGGCACUCGGGACUGUCCGGACCCCCUGGGCCCUUGUUUCAAGAGUUGGCAGUGAUCCAUCUGCCCUAAAUGAUCCCUAAAUGUUUAGGGACAGUUAGGCAGUGUCCCUAAAUAUUUAGGGACAAUACUUGUGAUUUCCGGGGCUCAGCACCUGCUCUUGGAUCUUCUCAAGGCCUGCUAGAUUUCAGAAUCUCAAAGGUUUGGCCACUGCACUCCCAACCCCUAAGGAAAGGAUGGGAGAUGAAUUAUUAAAGGACACCGGGGCCAUUAGCAUAUCGGGCGUCACUUCUCUGGGGCCCUUGCCCUUGAGCAACUGAAUGUUUUAUUGAAGAGGAAAAAACAUGCACGAAAAAGGAGUGGCCAGUCCCCUCUAUGGCAUUUUCGUGCUGGUGUUUCAGACACCCAAGAAUCUGAAUAAAAAUUUUAGGAUACUUGGGCCCAGCCAGAGGAAGCAAGGACUGGGUGAAAUGCUCUGUAUGGUAAAGAAAAAUGGAAUUUUGAAUUUACAAGAAGACCAAGAGUCAAAAUGAGGUACCCUGAGAACACAUUAAAGAUUUUAACAAAACUGACGAGUGUCUAAUGUGAGAGUGGCCUAGGAAAAGACUGGAAAGCCAAGGCUUACAGGGGAACUAAACAGUGAGAAAAUCCUGAUCAUAUGAUAGAGUUCAGGGUUUGGCAUUUUUCUUCUGAAGGACCAGAUAGUAAGUCUUGGUCUGUGUAGCUUCUACUCAAUUCUGCUGUUAGAGCAUGAAAGCAGCCAUAAAUAGGCUAACAGUGGGGGAGGCUGGGUUCCAAUACCUAUAUUUACAAAACAGUCACUUUUUAGUCCAUUGAUUUCUAAUAUUCACUUCUACGUGUGUGCCACUUCGGUACACAUAGUUUGGUAAUUUCCCUUUUCACCCCGGUCCUGUAGCAAACAGCUAAACAGUGACCACCCAACAGCUAUGGUAGUAGGCUGGUACUUUGACUAGGUGGCAUGCAGGGAUGAGGUGUGGUGACAAGCCCCUGUUGGGGAGGACAGGAAACAGGAAGGAGAGAGCAGUCCUAGGAGACCUGGUGAGGCAGAGAAUUCAGUGGGAGCCAGAAAGCAGGGGGAGGUAAAUGCGAAGUCUCCACAGGAUCCCCAGGUGAUCCUGCACAUUUAAGGGAAGGGGGAGCCA
rnacentral:lncRNA from 1 species